GGGAGACUGAGGCAUGGCGGGAUGCAGGUCCCAAGCCCUUCCCCGCGGGGAGGCAGCUAAGGCCCGGCAAGAAAUCGAGCACAGCAGCUGCUAGCGCAGGUGCUAAGCCCCUCACUGCCCGGGGCUUGCGGGCCGGCCUGCUGCUCCGAGUGCUGGGCCAGCCGAGCCCACGCCCCCCCGGAACUGGCGCUGGCCCGCAAGCGCCGCGCGCAGCCCCAGUUUCCGCCCGCGCCUCUCCCUCCACGCCUCCUCGCAAGCUGAGGGAGUCGGCUCCGGCCUUGGCCAGCCCAGAAAGGGGCUCCCACAGUGCAACGGUGGGCUGAAGGGCCAGAGUGGGCGCCAAGGGCGAGGAGGCGCCGAGAGCGAGUGGGGGCUGCCAGCACGGUGUCACCUCUCACCAGUAGUUGUGAUUUUUGCUGUCACCCCCAUGGAUUAUGAAUUCACUUUGUCUGGGUAACAGUGGAAACCCUCGGAAGUUGUUUCCACUGUUUCAUCUAAAAGAAGUCGCCAAAACGAAGUUUUCUCAGUGCCAAAGCAUGGACUCAGUGACUGGCAAUGUUUGGGAUUGCAGAGGCUCCAGUAGCCUGGGAAGAGAGCAGUUUAAGAAUUUUACCUAAAGUCACCGUGCAAGGGGGAUGAGCUCCAGGGACUGUCAUUUUUCACAGAAUGAGUCAUGAACUCAAAGGUCUGGCUAGUUGUGGUCAUGAAAGAUUCCCUAGACUCAUUCACCAGAGCAAGAUGCCUUUCAGUGUUGAGGUCACCCUAAAGAAAUAGAACCAGAAGAUUGCAGAAUUGCGGCCUUCGAUUCUCCUCUCUAAGUAGACUGAGUACACUUGAAGACAACAAUAUGGGCAUUCAUUAGAUGGAAUUUGGAAGACAAAGCUGAGGUUAAAAAUUACAUUUCUUUUGACUAAACUUAGGCAGGACAUUUAGUCUAGCGUUCACCACAGGUCUCAUUGGUCCCUACUACCUGUACCAGACUUUCCACAGGCACACUAUAUGCGUGGCCAUUAAGGUUUUUAGUUUGCAUUCCCAGGAAUAAAUUGAUUUCUCACUUUGAUAACAUGCUGUGCUACUUCUGGCUUUUACAUUAAAACCCUUAGAGGAUGAUAAGUAUGGUUACAGAACACAUUGUCUGAGUUUCAGAUCUGGCUUAUUCACUUAAUAAAUGCUAUAGUUUGGAUAUUCAUCCACCCCCCGAUAUCUCGCAUUGAAAUUUAAUCCUCAUUGAUGGAAAUGAGGCCUAAUUGGAGCUGUUUGGGUCAUGUGGGUGGAUUCCUCAUGAAUGGCUUGACAUCGUCCUCAAAGUAAUGAGCGAGUUCUUGCUCUGUUAGUUCCCAUGAGAGCUGGUUGUUAAGAAGAGCCUGGCACCUCCACUCUCUUUCUCUUGCUUCCUAUCUCACCGUGUGAUCUCUGCACAGUUGACCCCACUUUGUCUUCUGCCAUGAGUAGAAGCAGCCUGAGUCCCUCAACAGAAGCCAAGCAGAUGCUGGCACCAUGCUUCUUGUACAGCCUACACAACAUGAGCCAAAUAAAGCUAUUUUCUUUAUAAAUUACCCAGCCUCAGGUAAUCCUUGAAAGCAAUACUAAAUGGACUAAAACAGUAACUAUGUGACUACUUUAUACCAG
rnacentral:lncRNA from 1 species